GGUGAUAUAACUCAGUGGUAGAGCACUUGCCUAAUGUGCAUGAAAACCUGGAUUCAACCUCAGUGCUACCA
rnacentral:tRNA from 1 species